rnacentral:rRNA from 1 species
UACGGAGGGUGCAAGCGUUGCUCGGAAUUAUUGGGCGUAAAGGGUAGGUAGGUGGUCUUAUUUGUCUGGGGUGAAAGCCUUGAGCUUAACUCAAGAAGUGCCCCAGAAACGGUAAGACUAGAGUCCUGGAGAGGGUCGUGGAAUUCCCGGUGUAGCGGUGAAAUGCGUAGAGAUCCGGAAGAACACCGGUGGCGAAGGCGGCCCGCUGGGCAACUGCUGACACUGAUGCGCGACAGCGUGGGGAGCAAACAGG